AGAAGACAUAAAUAAUAAGAGGAGUGCCGCCACCGUUGCCCCACUUCCUUUUGCAUUCUCCUCUUCAAACUCGUUCAUUCAUUUCUCGCAUUUCCACUUUCCAAAGCUCUUUCUUUCAAGAUCGAGCUUUGGAAAAGUUGAUAAAGGCAUUUGAGCAACAACUGUUCUCAGAUCCUUGAAACUUUGUGUCAUUUGUCGAAACAACUCAGUUGGAACACGCAUGGCAAGCGCGUUGCAGCUUAAUGGGGUUCAAGGGAACCUUGCUGUAACUUUGAGGAAGAGCUUGCAAUGCACACCUCGAAUUGGGUUUGCAGCAUUUGUUGCCCCUGUUCCUCCUGCAAGGGGUGUUUCAAGCAAUAGCAAGGUGGCAUUCAGGGUCGCAUGCAAGGCCACAACAAGUGAUGUGCUUGAGAAGGAUGUGAGUGAGAGUGAGAAGUUGAGUGAAACUGAAACGAGUUUCACUUGUGUUAUGAAGUUUGGUGGCUCCUCUGUGGCUUCUGCUGAGAGGAUGAAAGAGGUUGCAGGGCUUAUACUGAGUUUUCCAGAAGAGAGGCCUAUUGUUGUUCUCUCUGCUAUGGGAAAGACAACGAACAAGCUUUUGCUGGCUGGAGAAAAAGCUGUGAGUUGUGGUGUUACUAAUGUCUCUGGUAUUGAUGAGCUUUGCUUUAUAAAAGACCUUCAUCUCAGGACUGUGGAUCAGCUUGGAGUUGACAGUUCUGUUAUAGCAAAGCAUCUAGAAGAACUGGAGCAACUUCUGAAGGGGAUAGCUAUGAUGAAAGAGUGCACUAAAAGGACUCAAGACUAUUUGGUUUCAUUUGGAGAAUGCAUGUCCACUAGAAUCUUUGCUGCAUAUCUUAAUAAAAUGGGUGUAAAGGCUCGCCAAUAUGAUGCAUUUGAGAUUGGUUUUAUAACAACUGAUGACUUCACGAAUGCGGACAUUUUGGAAGCGACUUAUCCAGCUGUUGCAAAAAGAUUGCAUGGUGAUUGGCGCUCUGAUCCUUCAAUUCCAAUUGUUACAGGCUUCCUUGGAAAGGCCCGGAAAUCAUGUGCAGUGACAACACUGGGUAGAGGUGGCAGUGAUUUGACAGCUACAGCAAUUGGGAAAGCACUAGGGCUGCCUGAGAUCCAGGUAUGGAAGGAUGUUGAUGGUGUCCUAACCUGUGAUCCGAACAUAUACCCACAAGCAGAACCUGUCCCAUACUUGACAUUUGAUGAGGCUGCUGAACUAGCUUACUUUGGUGCUCAGGUUCUGCAUCCACAGUCUAUGAGACCUGCUAGAGAAAGUGAUAUCCCUGUUAGGGUUAAGAAUUCAUACAACCCUAAAGCUCCGGGUACUCUCAUUACCAAGGGACGAGAUAUGAGCAAGGCAGUAUUAACAAGCAUUGUUUUGAAACGGAAUGUGACCAUGCUGGAUAUAGUGAGCACUCGCAUGCUUGGUCAGUAUGGUUUCCUUGCUAAGGUGUUUUCAAUCUUUGAAGAUUUAGGCAUAUCAGUUGAUGUUGUAGCUACAAGUGAAGUCAGUGUUUCCUUGACAUUGGAUCCAUCAAAGCUUUGGAGCAGAGAGCUAAUUCAGCAGGAACUUGACCAUGUUGUUGAAGAACUGGAAAAAAUUGCUGUGGUGAAUCUCCUACAGAAUAGAUCCAUCAUCUCUCUCAUUGGAAAUGUUCAGAGAUCAUCACUAAUAUUGGAGAAGGUUCUGUAUUGUUUCUCUUUAUUUAAAUGUAUUUCCUACUUUAAAUUGUAUUUUCAUGGUGAAUUCAAUUGCUUUAUUAUAUUAUCACUAUCUGGGCCUUUUCCUCUCUCCCUUUCGCUUUAUGUGUGGGGAAUGUUGAUAGAACUCCAUGACAGAAGCAAACAUCAACAGAAAAGAUUAAUGCAAAUGGCUAGGUAUUAUUUGGCUAUCAGGAAUGGUACCCCAAAUGAAGAUACAAUUCCUUCAGAGUUACAAUUCCUAUACCAGAGGUUUCCCUCCGAUCAAUUAAGUCAUCGAAUACCUUUCUGCCUUCUCUCUCUUUGAUUCCCUUUUCUUAUAGUAACCCUCCUGCUGUAUAACAAACUUCUCUCAUGGCAUAAGAAACUUCUCCCCCACUCUCUAACUACUUGCCAUGCUGGCAUUCUUUCUUCUAGAAUAGACAUGCCAUAUAAUGGGCCUAGUGGGACCCAUAUCCGUCAACCGAACUCAUUCCAUAUUAUUAUGCAGGGUUUAACAAAUGUUGUUAUGUUUUCUGUGGGUAUAUUGGUGCAUUGUUGAUCUUGGAAUAAAAUCCACCGGUUGUAUUAUAUGCUUUUACUCGCAAAUCAAUUCAUGUCCACAUGCAAUCUUAUGUUUCUGUAACCAGUCUAUGUUAAGCUCUUAUCAAUGAUUGGCAUUCUAUUGCAGGCUUUCCAAGUUCUUCGAACCCUUGGUGUCACUGUGCAAAUGAUCUCUCAGGGUGCAUCGAAGGUGAACAUCUCAUUGGUUGUAAAUGACAGUGAAGCAGAGCAGUGUGUGAGGGCUCUCCACUCAGCCUUCUUUGAGAGUGAGCUCUCAGACUUGGAGAAGGAUUACCAAAACGGAAAUGGUUCUGUUGCUGAAUUAUCUUAGGGACAUUAUUGGGCCUCAAUUUUUUAUCCUAGUAUAUAUUUUAAUCUUACAUGCUAGAGUCAACCAAGCAUUUUUCAAGUCCUCUUAGCCUUGUGCCAUUGAGAUGCAGCAGAACAUGUGCUACCGGGAAGAUAAAUGUUGGUCGGGGAGGAAUUACGAAGCAUUAGUGUAUAACUAGGCAUGGUAUUUUUUUGGUAGUUGUUUCCAAAGGGUUAAUAACUAGCUGCAAAGCAAUUAUUAUUUACUAUAUAUUAUUGGAAAUUAUG